rnacentral:rRNA from 1 species
AAGGAUCAUUAACGAAUAUAAUUCGAGGGGUUGUCGCUGGCCUCGCUCGCGCGAGGCAUGUGCACGCUUCUCGUUUUUAUCUCAACUCACCUGUGCACCUAAUGUAGGAUGCCUCUCCUCCGGGAGGGGGGACCUAUGUCUUCGUAACAUCUUCGUGUAGAAAGUCUUUGAAUGUUUACUAUCAUCGAGUCGCGACUUCUAGGAGACGCGAUUCUUUGAGAUAAAAGUUAUUACAACUUUCAGCAACGGAUCUCUUGGCUCUCGCAUCGAUGAAGAACGCAGCGAAAAGCGAUAUGUAAUGUGAAUUGCAGAUCUACAGUGAAUCAUCGAAUCUUUGAACGCACCUUGCGCUCCUCGGUGUUCCGAGGAGCAUGCCUGUUUGAGUGUCAGUGAAUUCUCAACCCCUCUCGAUUGGCUUCGAGAGGGCGCUUGGAUGGUGGAGGUUGCCGGAGACUCGGAUUCGUCCGAGACUCGGGCUCUUCUGAAAUGCAUCGGCUUGCGGUCGACUUUCGACUAUGCGCGACAAGGCUUUCGGCGUGAUAAUGAUCGCCGUUCGCUGAAGCGCAUGACCGAACGUCCCGUGCCUCUAAUACGUCGACCGCUUAUUAUCUCUCCGGAGAGAACAGGGUCUUCCUAAUUGACUUUUGACCUCAAAUCAGGUAGGACUACCCGCUGAACUUAA